AUCGCUUCUUGGCCUUUUGGCUAAGAUCAUGUGCAGUAUCUGUUCUUAUCACGUUGAUGUCUGAUACAUCCUCUAUCUGAUUAUAAAAAGCAAAAGGAAACACUAACGCUGCCUGCUAGCAGUAACAAGUUAACCGGAUCUGGAGAUGCUGACACCGA
ensembl:snRNA U2 U2 spliceosomal RNA